UAUAUUUAACUUGGUAACACUUGUUUCAGGCUUUCAGCUGGCUGCUUACUUGCAGCAAAUAGAGACAUUCAUUAAUUGAGGAUGCUGCAUAUAGUUAACGGAUUAUUAAGAUGUAGUGAUGCGAAUUAUUAGUCCCAGUGAUUUGUUUCCACUUUCCUUGAUAAUGAUUUUACUUACUUUUUUUUCAGAUGGGAUGCGAAUGUAGUAUGCUAGAACAGCAGCAGCGGCAGAUCCUGAUGAAACUCCAGGGUCAGGUGGGAUUAAAUCUUAUUAGCUCUAUUCUCCCUGUAUUUUUGUGUUAUUUUUCUUUUGAGAUUUAGGAGCACGGGCAGAUCUUGAUUAAACUAUAGAGCUAGGAGUUGCGUAAUUGGUUAGAGCUGAUUCAUCGAACGUACUCUGUACUUCAAUUGCAUUUGGGAUGGUUUGAACUUAUCCAAAUCAGUUACCACAAAGCACUGAAUGCUAGCAGAAUUAGCUUAUCUCUUAUUCUUUUGCUUCUUGAGGGCUUCACCUAGUUCUGAAGAACUGAACUAUUGAAUAAAGGUGCAUGCGUCAGUAUGGAGCAAACAAGCUCAUGGUUACAUAAUUCUUCUUCGCAAGUGGCAUGAAGUUCAAUGAUGCGUGUACUGCUUCUUCUAGUUGGCUUGGUAAUUGAGGAAUUGGUGAAGCAGCUUUAG